GACGAACGCUGGCGGCGUGCCUAACACAUGCAAGUCGAACGGAACUGUUUUGACAGAUUUCUUCGGAAUGAAUUUGAUUUAGUUUAGUGGCGGACGGGUGAGUAACGCGUGAGUAACCUGCCUUCAAGAGGGGAAUAACAUUCUGAAAAGAAUGCUAAUACCGCAUGACAUAUCGGAACCACAUGGUUUUGAUAUCAAAGAUUUUAUCGCUUGAAGAUGGACUCGCGUCCGAUUAGUUAGUUGGUGAGGUAACGGCUCACCAAGACCGCGAUCGGUAGCCGGACUGAGAGGUUGAACGGCCAAAUUGGGACUGAGACACGGCCCAGACUCCUACGGGAGGCAGCAGUGGGGGAUAGUGCGCAAUGGGGGCAACCCUGACGCAGCAACGCCGCGUGAAGGAUGAAGGUUUUCGGAUUGUAAACUUCUUUUAUUAAGGACGAAAAAUGACGGUACUUAAUGAAUAAGCUCCGGCUAACUACGUG
rnacentral:rRNA from 1 species